GCGCACCAGCUGCGAAAAUUCCACAAUGCGCGAAAGCGUGAUGGAGUUAUCCCGAGUGUCACCUGCUGAGGGUGGCUUUUCUCCAGUCUUAACAGCUGGAUGAAUAAGGGGAGGGCAAGUCUGGUGUCAGCCGCCGCGGUAAUACCAGCUCCUCGAGUGGUCGGGACGAUUAUUGGGCCUAAAGCAUCCGUAGCCGGUUCUGUAGGUCUCCUGUCAAAUUCAACGGCUCAACCGUUGAGCUGCAGGAGAUACCGCAGGGCUAGGAGGCGGGAGAGGUGGACGGUACUCUAUGGGUAGGGGUAAAAUCUUCUGAUCCAUGGAAGACCACCAGUGGCGAAGGCGGUCCACCAGAACGCGCUCGACGGUGAGGGAUGAAAGCUGGGGGAGCGAACCGGAUUAGAUACCCGCGUAGUCC
rnacentral:rRNA from 1 species